AAGAAUGUCAAGAAAUGGACACAAAAUCAAUCAAGAGUCAACUAAAGGCUUGCUUUGUUCUUACCCAAAAGGCUUGUUUUGGAGAUUGGUGUCCACUGGCAGAAACUCGGACAGAUGACGUUGGUCUUUUCUGGAGAAAUAAGUAACGUGUGUCCACUCAAUUGCAGCUCCGCCACACUGGGAAGCUGGGGAACCGGGGUUCCAAGGUGCUCAGCGCUCCAAAUGGCCUCCAGAAGAGUAAUCCAUGGGCUGUUUCUGGGCCCUGAAAAUUCAGGAACAACCUCAUCCAACUGAUAGACACAAGGACACCAUUAUUGUGAGAUAAAGAGCUGAAAGAAGGAAGUCUGCAGAAGAGAAGGGGUCUGAGGCUGUAAAAGAGCGACACACCCCUGCCCACCUGUCCCCGCCCCCAUCAUCACCACCACUACCUCCUUUAAUCCUGAAUGAAUUUAAAUUAAAGGCAUUCCAAAGA